UCCUUCUUAACACGAUUCAACACUUCACCGAUGUGUUCAGCAGCAUCCUGCAGGUUUGUCACUCGUACCUGAAGGCGACAGCCCAAAGGUUUAAGUAGUUUGAACUGUUAGUCAAAGAACCUCAUGCUUACAGCGAAGAGGAAAAGGACAUAUUUCAAGGAAUAGACAAAGAAAAUAUUCAUCAACUGAGAAAGGAGGAAAAGCAAUAGCCCAAAGGUUUAAGUAGUUUGAACUGUUAGUCAAAGAACCUCAUGCUCACUGCAAAGAGGAAAUGGACAUCUUUCAAGGAAUAGACACAAAAUAGUCACAAAUUGAGAAAGGAGGAAAAGGAAUCUCUAAGGGAAGAUUAAGUACAGAGAGAUCCUAUACAACACAAGAUGAUAAAUCUUCACUAGUAAGACUAGUAAACCCGGUUCGGUGGUACAUAUCCAACCGGC
rnacentral:lncRNA from 1 species